rnacentral:rRNA from 1 species
UACGUAGGGUGCGAGCGUUAAUCGGAAUUACUGGGCGUAAAGCGCGCGUAGGCGGAUCAGAAAGUUGGGGGUGAAAUCCCCGGGCUCAACCUGGGAACUGCAUUUGUGACUGCAAGGCUAGAGUACGGCAGAGGGGGAUGGAAUUCCGCGUGUAGCAGUGAAAUGCGUAGAUAUGCGGAGGAACACCAAUGGCGAAGGCAAUCCCCUGGGCCUGUACUGACGCUCAUGCACGAAAGCGUGGGGAGCAAACAGG